GACAGAGGGUGCAAACGUUGCUCGGAAUCACUGGGCGUAAAGGGCGUGUAGGCGGGAAGGAAAGUCAGAUGUGAAAUCCCUGGGCUCAACCCAGGAACUGCAUUUGAAACUCCCUUUCUUGAGUGUCGGAGAGGAAAGUGGAAUUCCUGGUGUAGAGGUGAAAUUCGUAGAUAUUAGGAAGAACACCAGUGGCGAAGGCGGCUCACUGGUCCGGUACUGACGCUGAGGUGCGAAAGCGUGGGGAGCAAACAGG
rnacentral:rRNA from 1 species